GAGGGUAGAGCUCAGUGGUAGAGCACGUGCUUAUAUGCACGAGGUCCUGGGUUCAAUCCCCAGUACCUCCA
rnacentral:tRNA from 1 species